UUACAAUUCUUAUUCAACACAGCAAUAAGGGGACCAAGCAAAUUACCAUGGAAUUUGUUUUUCAUUACUUUUUUUUUUUUUUUUUUCAUUGUGGUAGCAGA